CCUACGGGAGGCAGCAGUGGGGAAUAUUGCACAAUGGGGGAAACCCUGAUGCAGCGACGCCGCGUGAAUGAAGAAGGAAUUCGGUAUGGAAAGCUCUAUCAGCAGGGAAGAAAAUGACGGUACCUGAGUAAGAAGCCCUGGCUAACUACGGGCCAGCAGCCGCGGUAAUACGUAGGGGGCAAGCGUUAUCCGGAGUUAGUGGGUGUAAAGGGAGCGUAGACGGCAGUGCAAGUCUGGGGUGAAAGGCGGGGGCUCAACCCCCGGACUGCUUUGGAAACUGUACGGCUGGAGUGCAGGAGAGGUAAGUGGAAUUCCUAGUGUAGCGGUGAAAUGCGUAGAUAUUAGGAGGAACACCAGUGGCGAAGGCGGGUUACUGGACUGUAACUGACGUUGAGGCUCGAAAGCGUGGGGAGCAAACAGGAUUAGAUACCCGGGUAGUC
rnacentral:rRNA from 1 species